AUCCCAGAUAAGCCUUUUUUAUGCUUAUCUGAUUCAUGGGAGGCAUAUAUGAACAAUGGUAGUUCGCUGAUAGCACCUUUUCCUUAGAAGGUAUGCUAAUAGUACCUUACCAGACAUAU